rnacentral:lncRNA from 1 species
UUAUUUUUCUUCCAUUGGUUUUUAAUGGAAUCGACAAGGGAACAGAAUAUGAGAUGGAGUCAACAUUUAAUUACUUGUGUACAGAUGGAAAGGAGACUUCGUGGAAGUUCUUAUGUACAAUUCCGCCAACGAAAUCUGGCAUUAAAAGACAAACAAAGUUCUCAAUUGCAAAGCCAUCUUAAAUAUACUAGUAGCUGGUCAUUGACCGGAUAUGCUGUCUGCUGUUUUUUCUAUCAAUCGCUCACCAAAUGAUAUUUCAAUUGUGAUAAUUUGAUUGCCCAGCUAUUACUGCAAAUAAACACACCAUUGAAACACAAAAAACACGAAUAUGAAAUGGAAACACAUUCAGAGUGGUCUUCUUAAAAAAAGGAAAACACGUGGCACUUUUUCCACAAUUUGAAAAAUCUUUGAGGUCUCUGACCAGGACCUUUGGCUCACAAACACAAGGCUCGUCAGUCGUCAGACAAAAGAAAAACCAGCCCAAGGAUCUCAAAGGAAAGAAAUAAUGCCGCAGAGAAUAGAGAGGCAGAGUGGAGCUGAUGAGGAGGCAUAAAUAACUUCGAGUCGAGUAUGGCCGCACGGAAUAAACAUAAAUAAAAGCGGAGCAAACACCACAAACUCAAAUUACACGCCGGAAUGUACAUAGACCGUGUGGGGAGGGGAGGGUGCGGAGUCCGGACUCCGGAAGUACCGGACACCCAGCUGAGGCUGAGCCCAAAAUAGGCGACUAAUGCCCACAAAUGUUUGUCCAGGUACGAACUAGACUUUCAGGUGAAUCUUUCCCUCCCCUCCCUCUCUCACUCUGUCUCUGUCUCUGUCACUCUAUUUCUCUCUCUCUCUCUCUUUCUCUGUGGUACUUCCAUCGUGGUGUGUAUUUUGUGUAAUUAAUGUGUGGCCCUGCUGCUUCUGGUAAUGGCAACAAUGUCCACAUUCACGUGAAAGCGGAAGUGUGAGCCCAAAAAGUUUACGUUAACAGGAAAUUGUUAUUGUUUUGUCGCCUUAAAAAAGCAAAGAACGAAAAGGGUACAGCACUGAAAGGCGAAUCAGUUGUACCCUGAAAAAACGAACCAGAAAAUACAGGUUACAUACCCAUCGAGGAACAGGGCAUAUCCUUCAGCGUUGAUGGGUGUCUGGCCUGCGUACAAAAACCGAAAGCCGUUGGUAAUAUUGGAGGCGAGGAGCGAGCUGACCAUUGCCGGGUUAUUCCGGCCAGGUCAUUGACUUUCCUUCCAGGCUCUCUCUCUCCAUUUGUGUAUGUUUGUGCUUGUGUGAUUGUGCUUGUGUGGAUGGGUAAUUAAGAUGCUAUCUCAGGGCGUUGAAAUUCGAGACGAGAAGCGAUUUCCGGUUAGCGGCUAUAGUUGGCUUUUACGGCUUUGCCUUGACGGAAAUUGGCCAACUUAAAGAGUAAACGUGCUGGCUCGUUGGAUGUCUUUAAAGACUAUUACUAGACAUAGUCCCAGCAGCGUAAUACCUAUAUUUAUCAAUAAGCACAACAAUUGCACAACCACUCGCAGAGAAAGUAGUGCAAAGGAGGGGCUGGGCCUGGGCCUGCCACUUGAGCUGACACUUGCUUGGGGCGUGGGCUAAUUUACGCCUUCAAUUUGUACCGACCAACAGCCAACAGGCAGCAGUGGCGGCUCCCACUUGAUAUAAUUGAUGGCCAGCCGGAGUCCAAGUCCGUGGCAGGUCUAGCAACUUGGACUAGUCUGGGACUUGCCCGUCCUUGCUGUGGGGCCGUUU